CAGCAGCCGCGGUAAUACGAAGGGUGCAAGCGUUAAUCGGAAUUACUGGGCGUAAAGCGUGCGUAGGCGGUUUGUUAAGUCUGCUGUGAAAUCCCCGGGCUCAACCUGGGAAUGGCAGUGGAUACUGGCAAGCUAGAGUGUGUCAGAGGAUGGUGGAAUUCCCGGUGUAGCGGUGAAAUGCGUAGAGAUCGGGAGGAACAUCAGUGGCGAAGGCGGCCAUCUGGAACAACACUGACGCUGAGGCACUAAAGCGUGGGGAGCAAACAGGAUUAGAUACCCCGGUAGUCCCUGUCUCUUAUAC
rnacentral:rRNA from 1 species